AACGUAGGACGCAAGCGUUAUCCGGAGUUACUGGGCGUAAAGCGCGGGCAGGCGGUCUUGCCAGUCUGAUGUGAAAUCUCUCAGCUCAACUGGGAGCAGCCAUUGGAAACUACAAGACUGGAGUCUGGCAGAGGUAGGCGGAAUUCCGGGUGGAGUGGUGAAAUGCGUAGAGAUCCGGAGGAACACCAGAGGCGAAGGCGGCCUACUGGGGCAGUACUGACGCUGAGCCGCGAAAGCCAGGGGAGCGAACGGG
rnacentral:rRNA from 1 species